UACUUGGAUAACUGUGGUAAUUCUAGAGCUAAUACACGCAGAACGAGCGCAUUUAUUAGAACAAAACCAAUGUUGGUGACUCUGAAUAACUCAUGGUCUCGCACCGGCGACAUAUCUUUCAAGUGUCUGCCUUAUCAACUUUCGAUGGUAGUUUAUGUGCCUACCAUGGUUGUAACGGGUAACGGAGAAUAAGGGUUCGACUCCGGAGAGGGAGCCUGAGAAACGGCUACCACAUCCAAGGAAGGCAGCAGGCGCGCAAAUUACCCACUCUCGGCGAGGAGGUAGUGACGAAAAAUAACGAGACGGAUCUCUUUGUUAUCGGAAUGAGAACAAUUCAAAUCCUUUAACGAGGAUCUAGCGGAGGGCAAGUCUGGUGCCAGCAGCCGCGGUAAUUCCAGCUCCGCAGGUGUAUAUCUAUGCUGCUGCGGUUAAAAAGCUCGUAGUUGGAUCUGCCUCGGAACUGGUAGGCUCACUGAGUUCUUUGCUGGUUUUCCCUUGAUGCUCUUAACCGGGUGUCUUGGGUGGCUAGCGCGUUUACUUUGAAAAAAUUAGAGUGCUCAAUACAGGCGCAAAGCUUGAAUAGUGGUGCAUGGAAUAAUAGAAUAGGAGGUUCUAUUUUGUUGGUUUUCGGAACACAAGGUAAUGAUUAAGAGGGACAGACGGGGGCAUUCGUAUUGCGACGUUAGAGGUGAAAUUCUUGGA
rnacentral:rRNA from 1 species